UCUGAGGGUUUCUCUUCUUUUAUUUACUUUGCUACGAAACAAGCCUGGCCCAUUACGUAAUUACUGCCCUUUUCACAAACGUAGUCGUUUUACUCAGAGCAGUGUAUCUUACUAAUGUUUCAUUCCUUUUAUUUUCAAAUUGGUGCAGGCUUUUGGUACAUAUACACAUCAUAAAACAUGGUUAGUAGUAUCUCUUAACGAAACAUGGUUAGAAGAAAAGGAACUGGUUAGGUUCACACUUUCACAUAUCCAUUUUAAAGGCAAAACAUUCGACAACCAAAGGCCAACAAGCUUCACUAUCUCUAGUUCUCUACACAAUACAAACCCCUAAUUGGUUUUGUUCCAGACUCUGUACAAAAGCUAAGCUCCAUGAAAAAUAAAAUUUCUGGAACUGUAGCCUCUGUUCAUGAUUUUGCUAAUUUUACACACAUAAGAGCAUAAGAGAAAAAAAAUAUAUAUUCAGUUUGUUAG